UGAACUUGCUAGGGGUGCCAUUAAUGCGCUGAAAGAGGUGAACGCCUCAACCCUUUGAACCUGAUCUAGAUCAUACUAGCGUAGGGAAGCAAACGAAACCUUCA
rnacentral:ncRNA from 1 species